AUGAACGCUGGCGGCGUGCCUAAUACAUGCAAGUCGAGCGAACAGACGAGGAGCUUGCUCCUCUGACGUUAGCGGCGGACGGGUGAGUAACACGUGGAUAACCUACCUAUAAGACUGGGAUAACUUCGGGAAACCGGAGCUAAUACCGGAUAAUAUCUUGAACCGCAUGGUUCAAUAGUGAAAGACGGUUUUGCUCUCACAUAUAGAUGGAUCCGCGCCGCAUUAGCUAGUUGGUAAGGUAACGGCUUACCAAGGCAACGAUGCGUAGCCGACCUGAGAGGGUGAUCGGCCACACUGGAACUGAGACACGGUCCAGACUCCUACGGGAGGCAGCAGUAGGGAAUCUUCCGCAAUGGGCGAAAGCCUGACGGAGCAACGCCGCGUGAGUGAUGAAGGUCUUCGGAUCGUAAAACUCUGUUAUUAGGGAAGAACAAAUGUGUAAGUAACUAUGCACGUCUUGACGGUACCUAAUCAGAAAGCCACGGCUAACUACGUG
rnacentral:rRNA from 1 species